rnacentral:rRNA from 1 species
GACGAACCGUGCGAACGUUGUUCGGAAUCAUUGGGCUUAAAGGGCGCGUAGGCGGGCUAGCAAGUCAGGGGUGAAAGCCCACGGCUCAACCGUGGAAGUGCCUUUGAUACUGCUAGUCUGGAGGGAGGUAGGGGCGUGCGGAACUUCCGGUGGAGCGGUGAAAUGCGUAGAUAUCGGGAAGGAACACCGGUGGCGAAGGCGGUUCUCUGGGCCGAUGACUGACGCUGAGGAGCGAAAGCGUGGGGAGCAAACAGG